UACGAAGGGGGCUAGCGUUGUUCGGAAUCACUGGGCGUAAAGGGCGCGUAGGCGGCGCGACAAGUCAGGCGUGAAAGCCCCGGGCUCAACCCGGGAAUUGCGCUUGAUACUGUCGUGCUUGAGGCCGGGAGAGGAUGGCGGAAUUCCCAGUGUAGAGGUGAAAUUCGUAGAUAUUGGGAAGAACACCGAUGGCGAAGGCGGCCAUCUGGACCGGUUCUGACGCUGAGGCGCGAAAGCGUGGGGAGCAAACAGG
rnacentral:rRNA from 1 species